rnacentral:rRNA from 1 species
UACGAAGGGGCUAGCGUUGUUCGGAAUUACUGGGCGUAAAGCGCACGUAGGCGGAUCGAUCAGUCAGGGGUGAAAUCCCAGGCUCAACCCUGGAACUGCCUUUGAUACUGAAGAUCUUGAGUCCGGGAGAGGUGAGUGGAACUGCGAGUGUAGAGGUGAAAUUCGUAGAUAUUCGCAAGAACACCAGUGGCGAAGGCGGACUCACUGGCCCGGUACUGGACGCUGAGGCACGAAAGCGUGGGGAG